rnacentral:rRNA from 1 species
UACGGGGGGGGCAAGCGUUGUUCGGAAUUACUGGGCGUAAAGGGCGCGUAGGUGGUUUGUUAAGUUGGAUGUGAAAACUCUGGGCUUAACCCAGAGCCUGCAUCCAAAACUGGCAGGCUAGAGUUUUGGAGGGGGAAGCGGAAUUCCUGGUGUAGCAGUGAAAUGCGUAGAUAUCAGGAGGAACACCGGUGGCGAAGGCGGCUUCCUGGACAAAAACUGACGCUGAGGCGCGAAAGCUAGGGGAGCAAACAGG